AUCUGUAGUCAAUCAUAGUGCAUCAAAAAUAGGGGAAUGUCAGAGAUGCACUUUCUGCAUAAUUACAAAGAAAUGCGUUGCAGCAUGUUUAUUUCAAAGUGAGUGCAAUUUGUUACUCGGGCCUGAGAAAAGGACAGUGCUCUGGCUUUCUAAAAUACACACUGAAUUCUGAUUGACACAUGAAUCACUUUUUUUUUUCUUUUUGUCUCUUCCUGAAUCUCCACCAUGAAUCCUCAUGCUUGCUUCCCUCCCGUAACAUUCCCUUCACGCUCCCAUCCCAUGACAAUUCUUCACAGCUUUGUUCACCGUGGACGGCCUGAACCUCUGGACCUUCACCUGGGCAUGUUCCUCCCCACUCUUCUCACCCAGGCCACCCCAGAGCAGCAGGAUCGCUUCUUCAUGCCUGCCUGGAACCUGGAGAUCAUUGGCACUUAUGCCCAGACUGAAAUGGGCCAUGGGACUCAUCUUCGGGGCCUGGAAACUACAGCCACUUAUGACCCCUCUACACAGGAGUUCAUCCUCAACAGCCCCACUGUUACCUCCAUUAAGUGGUGGCCAGGUGGACUUGGGAAGACGUCGAACCACGCCAUUGUUCUGGCUCAGCUCUACACCCAGGGCCAGUGCAAAGGCCUGCACGCCUUCAUUGUCCCCAUCCGGCAGCUGGGCACACAUGAACCUCUGCCAGGUAUUACAGUGGGUGACAUUGGCCCCAAAUUUGGCUAUGAUGAAAUGGAUAAUGGCUACCUGAAAAUGGACAACUUCCGAAUUCCUCGGGAAAACAUGCUGAUGAAAUAUGCCCAGGUUGAACCAGAUGGCACCUAUGUGAAACCAGUCAGUGACAAGCUGACCUAUGGGACCAUGGUGUUCAUCCGUUCCCUCAUCGUGGGUGACUCUGCUCGCUCGCUGUCCCGGGCCUGCACCAUCGCCAUUCGCUACAGCGCCGUCAGACACCAGUCUGAGCUGAAGCCAGGGGAACCAGAACCCCAGAUCCUGGAUUAUCAAACCCAGCAAUACAAACUCUUUCCUCUCCUGGCAACAGCAUAUGCCUUCCAUUUUGUGGGAGCCUACAUAAAGCACACCUACCAUCGUAUCAAUGAGGACAUCAGCAAGGGGGACCUCAGUGAGCUGCCAGAGCUGCACGCCCUGACAGCGGGGCUGAAGGCGUUCACCUCAUGGACUGCCAAUUCUGGCAUUGAGGAAUGUCGGAUGGCCUGUGGUGGGCAUGGCUACUCCCGCUGCAGUGGCAUUCCUGACAUCUAUGUCACCUUCACCCCAUCUUGCACCUAUGAGGGAGAGAACACUGUCAUGAUGCUGCAGACAGCCAGGUUCCUUAUGAAAAGCUACACCCAGGUGACUUCUGGACAGCAGGUCACUGGCAUGGUGUCCUACCUGAAUGACCUCUCCAGGCAGCGCAUCCAGCCCCAGCACGUGGCUGCCAGGACUGUCACUGUGAGGAUCAACGACCCCACCAGCCUGGUGGAGGCUUACAAGUCACGUGCUGCCCGGCUUGUAGAAUCUGCAGCAAAGAAUCUGCAAGCUGAGCUGAGCCACAGAAGGAGCAAGGAGGAUGCCUGGAACAGGACUUCUGUUGAUCUUGUGCGGGCAUCAGAGGCCCACUGUCACUAUGUGGUAGUGAAGCUGUUCACAGCCAAGCUGGCCGAGGUCGGUGACGCCGCCGUGCGCGCGGUCCUGACCGACCUGUGCCUCCUGUACGCCCUGUUCGGCAUCAGCAGGAACUCAGGCUGGUAUCUUGACCAGUGCCCAAAUAAGCCAAGUGAACCAACAUGUGAAGGAGCUCCUGGCUGUCAUUCGUCCCAAUGCAGUGGCACUGGUGGACUCCUUUGACUUCCAUGAUGUCCAUCUGGGGUCUGUGCUUGGCCGCUACGAUGGCAACGUCUACGAGAACAUGUUUGAGUGGGCAAAGAAAUCCCCACUGAACAAAACACAGGUUCAUGAAUCUUUCCACAAACAUCUGAAGCCAAUGCAAGCCAAGCUGUGAAGCCUGCAGGUUUUUUUAAAUGCACUCUUGCCCUACCCUGAAAAUUGGGUGUUAGCAUCCUUCCUUCAGGCACCUAAAUCAAACAUUUGAAUCCUGUAGCUGUAGGACAGUGAAUAAUUGUAGCCUUUUUUUCCUCUUUUAUAAAUGGAGGAGGUGUUUGGGGAGAGUGUGUAGGGAUUGAUGGCUGUUUUUAAAGUGCAAUUAUAAUGGUAAAAUUAACCUUCUAAAAAUCUGGGAAAGCUUUAUGGAUGUACACAAGGAUUGCUUUUGUGAAGCUGCUAACUAGAGAGGAGUUCCUAUCAACUGGAAAAGGUGGCAGAACUUUUCUACAAAGUAGCUGACAGCCCUCAGGCAGUAGCUUCUGGUGAGCAGUUAUGUCCUCGCCUCAAAAAAAGCAUCAGUGUCUUGAUAUAUAUUGAUAUAUAUAUAAUUUUUUUUUAAAGAUUAGCCCCACCUCUUUCCUCCUUUGGCAAAUGUUUGUGCUGUGUGAAGUGACCUGCAGAGCUCCGUGCAUGUGAGUCUGUGUGUGGCACUGUUUUCCUGAUGGAUCUUGAAGUAAAUACUCCUCCUUCUCUGAAGCUCUGCUUCAGGCAUCCUUCCAGAAUAAAUCCUCGUGUUUCCUUUGGUUUCCUUCUUUCCACUGCCCCGCACAAACUCCUUUUCCUUUUGUACCAGCUCUUGGUUAAUAGGAGGUCAAAGGAGAACACAGUGAUGCUGCUCUGAGGAUAAAAAACAACUCAUAAGCUGGGUGCUGAUGACAAAUGUUCUGCCCCUGUUUUCACUCUUAGCAUUUUCUAGCACUAUCUCAAAGCACUUUACAAAUGUUUCUAUUUGAUUUGGUGGGAAAAAAAAACACAUGUACUGGUAAAAACUGGAAAUUUGACCUGGAAUGAUGAAGCCAGUAUUGGAGGGCAGAAAUCAGUUGACCAACUUCCUUGGGUCUUCUGAUUUUUCUGGGAUGUUAUCCUGUUUUUUUCAAGGCAAUUGUCAAGAAAACGACAAUCCCAAGUGAAGUGUCCAGACUUUUUUUUUUUUCCCCUACCCAUGCAUUUCCAAGGAGCUUUCUCUGAUUUUCUUAACUUUGUCUCAAUAACGACUUGGACCUUGCACAGUGCUGUGUGAUUGAACAGGAAGAAUUUAGCUUGGAAGAGAACGGCCUGCUGCCCAGGGAAAUCGGUGCAACAGCUACAACCAAGUAAAAUCAUUGCUGCUUUUCCACACCAAUAACUCUGUCCAGGAACCAUCAAAACUCUUCACACUAGAGAAGGGCAGCUCUUGAGCUUAAAGUGAUAAAAGGCUUCAGCAUAAACCCAAAUCCUGCACUUCUGAGGCAGCACCUGAGAAGCUGCUUCUCUGCAGCUUUGGUGUCUGUUAGUUUGUAAUUUUGAAUCAGUUUUCUGGCACUAACAAUGAUCAGACACAAGGUUUGGCUCCACGUGCAGUAGCUGAACAGAAAGAAAUGUUUAAUUUUAAAUAAACUAAUGAAACUUGCCUUGUGGCUCCUCAGUGUUUCAGGUCCCAUGAAAGUUCAGGA